GGUUAAGUGAAUAAGGGCGCACGGUGGAUGCCUUGGCACUAGGAGCCGAUGAAGGACGGGACUAACACCGAUAUGCUUUGGGGAGCUGUACGUAAGCUAUGAUCCAGAGAUUUCCGAAUGGGGGAACCCAGCAUCUUUAAUAGGAUGUUACGAUUGUGUGAAUACAUAGCACAUUCGAGGUAGACGCAGAGAACUGAAACAUCUAAGUACCUGCAGGAAGAGAAAGAAAAUUCGAUUCCCUGAGUAGCGGCGAGCGAAACGGGAAAAGCCCAAACCAACAAGCUUGCUUGUUGGGGUUGUAGGACUCCAAUAUGGUCGUUCUUUCAGAUAGUCGAAUGACUUGGAAAAGUCAGUCAAAGAGGGUAAAAACCCCGUAGACGAAAUGUGGAAGACACCUAGGAGGAUCCUGAGUACGGCGGAACACGAGAAAUUCCGUCGGAAUCCGGGAGGACCAUCUCCCAAGGCUAAAUACUCCCUAGUGACCGAUAGUGAACCAGUACCGUGAGGGAAAGGUGAAAAGCACCCCGGAAGGGGAGUGAAAUAGAACCUGAAACCGUGUGCCUACAACAAGUCAAAGCCCGUUAAUGGGUGAUGGCGUGCCUUUUGUAGAAUGAACCGGCGAGUUACGAUUGCAUGCGAGGUUAAGUUGAAGAGACGGAGCCGCAGCGAAAGCGAGUCUGAAUAGGGCGUUUGAGUAUGUAGUCGUAGACCCGAAACCAUGUGAUCUACCCAUGUCCAGGUUGAAGGUGCGGUAAAACGCACUGGAGGACCGAACCCACGUACGUUGAAAAGUGCGGGGAUGAGGUGUGGGUAGCGGAGAAAUUCCAAACGAACUUGGAGAUAGCUGGUUCUCUCCGAAAUAGCUUUAGGGCUAGCCUCGGAAUUGAGAAUGAUGGAGGUAGAGCACUGUUUGGACUAGGGGCCCAUCUCGGGUUACCGAAUUCAGAUAAACUCCGAAUGCCAUUCAUUCAUAUCCGGGAGUCAGACUGUGAGUGAUAAGAUCCAUAGUCGAAAGGGAAACAGCCCAGACCACCAGCUAAGGUCCCAAAAUAUAUGUUAAGUGGAAAAGGAUGUGGGGUUGCACAGACAACUAGGAUGUUGGCUUAGAAGCAGCCACCAUUUAAAGAGUGCGUAAUAGCUCACUAGUCGAGUGACCCUGCGCCGAAAAUGUACCGGGGCUAAACAUAUUACCGAAGCUGUGGAGUACACCUUUAGGUGUAUUGGUAGGAGAGCGUUCUAAGGGCGUCGAAGGCAGAUCGUGAGGACUGCUGGAGCGCUUAGAAGUGAGAAUGCCGGUAUGAGUAGCGAAAGACAGGUGAGAAUCCUGUCCACCGAAUGACUAAGGUUUCCUGGGGAAGGCUCGUCCGCCCAGGGUUAGUCGGGACCUAAGCCGAGGCCGAUAGGCGUAGGCGAUGGAUAACAGGUUGAUAUUCCUGUACCCGUUGUUUUUGUUUGAGCAAUGGAGGGACGCAGGAGGCUAAGGAAUGCAGACGAUCGGAAAUGUCUGUCCAAGCAGUAAGUCUGAAGAGGAGUCAAAUGCUUCUUUUCUUAAGGACAAGCUGUGAUGGGGAGGGAAAUAAUAGUACCGAAGUUCCUGAUGUCACACUGCCGAGAAAAGCUUCUAGUGAGAAAACAGCGGCCCGUACCGCAAACCGACACAGGUAGUCGAGGAGAGAAUCCUAAGGUGAGCGAGAGAACUCUCGUUAAGGAACUCGGCAAAAUGACCCCGUAACUUCGGGAGAAGGGGUGCUGAUCAUACGAUCAGCCGCAGUGAAUAGGCCCAAGCGACUGUUUAUCAAAAACACAGGUCUCUGCAAAAUCGUAAGAUGAAGUAUAGGGGCUGACGCCUGCCCGGUGCUGGAAGGUUAAGAGGAGUGCUUAGCGCAAGCGAAGGUACGAAUUGAAGCCCCAGUAAACGGCGGCCGUAACUAUAACGGUCCUAAGGUAGCGAAAUUCCUUGUCGGGUAAGUUCCGACCCGCACGAAAGGCGUAACGAUUUGGGCACUGUCUCAACGAGAGACUCGGUGAAAUUUUAGUACCUGUGAAGAUGCAGGUUACCCGCGACAGGACGGAAAGACCCCAUGGAGCUUUACUGUAGUUUGAUAUUGAGUGUCUGUACCGCAUGUACAGGAUAGGUAGGAGCCGUAGAAAUCGGAACGCUAGUUUCGAUGGAGGCGCUGGUGGGAUACUACCCCUGCGUUAUGGCCACUCUAACCCGCACCACUGAUCGUGGUGGGAGACAGUGUCAGAUGGGCAGUUUGACUGGGGCGGUCGCCUCCUAAAAGGUAACGGAGGCGCCCAAAGGUUCCCUCAGAAUGGUUGGAAAUCAUUCGAAGAGUGUAAAGGCAGAAGGGAGCUUGACUGCGA
rnacentral:rRNA from 1 species